rnacentral:lncRNA from 1 species
CAGCAGAGAGCAGAGGAAGUAAUGACUUUCACUGAAUAAAUGAAUUUAAAUGAAUAAACUUUUGAGCCUGAAUUAGGAAUGUGGUGGGAAAUAGAGAUUUGGAGACAAAUUUUAGGCUUUUCUUUUUUUUCCCCCUGAAUCACCAAGGAGAUGAAAUCUCCCAUAAGUUUCAUUUCAAGUUUUCAGAAGGAUGUGAGGACUAAUGGAAUCAAGGAGCCAAAUUGUGAAGUUCAAUGGGAGGAUCCCUUCUCUCUCCAUGCCGCUCUGGCCCAACACAGCCCUGUGUCACAGAGUGAGCCCUCCGUGACAGCUGGCCCAGGGCCAGCCACAAGAUUGGCAAGGAAUGCAUUUGUGUCAGGGGUGCCUGCCCCAAAGAGCCUGCGGGUUGGCAGAGUAAGAGCCUUCUUGUUUCUUCAGUUGCACAGUCUCCUCCAGCAAAUGAAAAGUUCCUCAAAAGCAGAGAGUUUAUCUUUUGCUUCCUGUGUGUCUGGGCAUCAUGGCGCUGACAUACCUCAGCCCACCAUCUGAUUGGUCUCAUUAUGACAUCAAAUCAUGGACUGUGAGAUCUGCCAGCAACAUUGGAGAUCACCUGGUUCAGUUAUCUCAUCUUUUAGAUGUGAAAUCGAGGCCCCAAAAUGGGAUGUGACUUGUUCAGUAUCACCCAGCUAGUUAAGACCAGAGCUUGGAUCAGGCCCUGAGCCUCCUGACUGUUCUAGACUUUAACAUGGCAUCUCAAGCUUCUCUCCCAUAAUGGUAGGAAGCAUGUGCCUCCCAGCCUGUUUCCAGGAUCUCUGGGAACAGCCAGCCACAAGCCAGAAACUGUUUCAAACUGUGUGUGAAUAUUGCCUUCUCAAGUAUGCAAAUUUUGCCUUCUGCUGCGUAAUAUGUACAUGUUUGUUUCAAUAUACACAUGUUAGAAUUAUGUUGUCUAAUAAGGAAAAUUGGUAGUGAAGGUGUAAUAGGAAAGAGCUGUUUAUUCCUUGGCAUAAUGCUGUAAGCCUUGAAGUCCAAACAAAGUUGUAACUUUGGGUUGAGUGCUUCAGGUUUAAGAAUGGUGGACAUCUUUCUGAGUGUAGUUUUCGGCCCCCUGAAGCUAUGUGAAGGAGAACAGAGGAGGUUUAACAAAGCAUGUGAAAACCAAGAUCCUGUAUUUUUAAAAAAUGAAUUAUUCAACAGCUUUUUUUUGAGAUGUAAUUCACAUCCAUAUAAUUCCUCCAUUUAAAGUGCAUAAUUCGGGGUGCCUGGGUUGCUCAUUUCCUUAAGCAUCCGCUUUCAGCUUGGGUCAUGAUCCUGGGGUCCUGGGAUCAAGCCCCACGUUGGGGAGCCUACUUCUCCUUCUCCCUCUGCUCUCUCUCUCUUGUGCUCUCACAAAUAAAUAAAUAAAACCUUAAAAAAAUAAAGUGCAUAAUUC